AUUUUAUAUAUGAAAAACAAAGACAUUUCUCUCAAAUACAUUAAUUUCAACAUGGUAUCAGAGCUUGAGUUGAAAUCUCUACUUGUUUCUUCUCCUUCAUUAGAGCCAAAGGUUGAAGUCCUUACGUUGUUUUCUUCUUUAGAGCCAAGGUUUUGAUUCCUUUACUAUAUUUCUUCAAUUUUUCUCCUUUAUUUCUUAAGAAAAGAAACGUACCAAAAAAAAAAAAAAAGGAGA
rnacentral:misc_RNA from 1 species